rnacentral:hammerhead_ribozyme from 1 species
AUCCAGCUGAUGAGUCCCAAGUAGGACGAAACGAUCGUUCUCAAU